GCGAGCGGAUCCCUUCGGGGUGAAGCUCGUGGAACGAGCGGCGGACGGGUGAGUAACACGUGGGCAACCUGCCUGUAAGAUCGGAAUAACCCCGGGAAACCGGGGCUAAUGCCGGGUAAUACUUUUCUUCGCAUGAAGAUGAGUUGAAAGAUGGCUUCUCGCUAUCACUUACAGAUGGGCCCGCGGCGCAUUAGCUAGUUGGUGAGGUAACGGCUCACCAAGGCAACGAUGCGUAGCCGACCUGAGAGGGUGAUCGGCCACACUGGGACUGAGACACGGCCCAGACUCCUACGGGAGGCAGCAGUAGGGAAUCUUCCGCAAUGGACGAAAGUCUGACGGAGCAACGCCGCGUGAACGAUGAAGGUCUUCGGAUCGUAAAGUUCUGUUGUCAGGGAAGAACAAGUACCGUGCGAAUAGAGCGGUACCUUGACGGUACCUGACGAGGAAGCCCCGGCUAACUACGUGCCAGCAGCCGCGGUAAUACGUAGGGGGCAAGCGUUGUCCGGAAUUAUUGGGCGUAAAGCGCGCGCAGGCGGUUCCUUAAGUCUGAU
rnacentral:rRNA from 1 species